AGUCUUUUGAACUAAAAGGAAUAUUACCUGAGUUAGGUUCCUGGAACUGAACUCCAGCAGGAGGCCUCUAGGAAGUAAGCAAACGGAAAGAAAUAAGUAGAAACAUACAUUUUGGACACCAAAGCAGAUUGGUCUCCCAACAGGUCAUUACUAAUAGUCAACAAGGGCUGAGAAACUCAAACUGAUGAGAUUUAUAGCAC
rnacentral:lncRNA from 1 species